CCUACGGGUGGCAGCAGUGAGGAAUAUUGGUCAAUGGACGCAAGUCUGAACCAGCCAUGCCGCGUGCAGGAAGACGGCUCUAUGAGUUGUAAACUGCUUUUGUACGAGGGUAAAUCCCGAUACGUGUAUCGGGUUGAAAGUAUCGUACGAAUAAGGAUCGGCUAACUCCGUGCCAGCAGCCGCGGUAAUACGGAGGAUUCAAGCGUUAUCCGGAUUUAUUGGGUUUAAAGGGUGCGUAGGCGGUUCGAUAAGUUAGAGGUGAAAUCUCGGGGCUCAACCCCGGCACUGCCUCUGAUACUGUUGGGCUAGAGAAUAGUUGCGGUAGGCGGAAUGUAUGGUGUAGCGGUGAAAUGCAUAGAGAUCAUACAGAACACCGAUUGCGAAGGCAGCUUACCAAACUACGACUGACGUUGAGGCACGAAAGCGUGGGUAGCAAACAGGAUUAGAUACCCGGGUAGUC
rnacentral:rRNA from 1 species